UUAAUGACCAGACAGAUAGUCAAAUUCUGUAAGAAUGACGACAUACAGCCAGCAACAAGUUCAAGGUAGGUCAAUGCUAUUAAAUCCCUGGUAUCCAGGAACCGCUUUCACUUGGGAUCCCGGUUCAACGUUUCGGUACGCGGUCUCACCCCUCUGGGAUCCACGCUUCAGGAUCCGAGGUCCGAUUUUUUUUAUCCACUUACAUGAGACAUACUUCCAAUCAGUUCAUAAACAACUUCCAUAGUAUUCUUUAUUCUAUUUGGUAGUGAUUAAAGAACAUCGUCUUCCUUACCCAGGUGUUUUUUUUUUCUAUGGUCCCGUCCCAAGCGCUUCUAGAUUUAAACACUAAUAACCCGUAAAUUGCAUUCCUCUCGGCACAUCUGCAAGCGCCAAUGAGCUUUUGGCAGCCAGUGAGCGAGCACAAUUAUUCCAUUAGCACCCUCUUCACCCGUCCCCAUCUUUGCAGAGUACCGAUUAGUGAUUCUCACAGCCAUAAAAGAGUGGGGAUUGCUCUAGAAGACUCCAUGAUAUCAGACAGGGUCUUUAACAAAGAUGAGUCAUCCUUCUUAGAAAUGCUAUUGUGGAGAUAUUCCCGCUCCCCAGGGUGGAUGUAAAAUUCGCUUGGAAACAUCGUGAUGGAGAUGAGCCAACAAUAGUGAUAAAUCGUUGAUAAUUUUCCAGUGUUUUAGUUUACAUCACGUCUCGGUGAGUUGUGUUAUUUUGUUUUUAAACUCGUUAAGUUUAUAUUUUUAUUCAUGUAAAUGUAAAACUACGUUGGCCGCAACUUUGUGACUCCUCAUAUCUCAUUUCUUGUGACAAUGGGAGGUCUUUCUCUACUGGAUCUCCAUUUUUACUUUCCCAGUUAAAAAAAUAAUAAUUAGACAAUUACUAUUCCAUUGAAAGGCUUAUUUCACGGCCGUUGUAAAGUUUGUCAAGACCAUAUUUUCUUGUGUUCCUUAAAAGUCAAAGUAUCUGUGUUUCUUGAGUUUUUGGGAAAAGUUCCUAAGCUGUGACUGGCUUGCGUGUGAUGGAAGGUUGAUGAAUCUAAACAAAUUCUCUUUGACGAAACAUUCCCCCGCACAGUUGGUAUUCCGGAAGAAAAAAUAUGAACAAAACACGAAAAAAAAAACACGGCUAAUUUUGUUUUAUCGCAAACUUGCUUCAUUAUAGUUUAACUUUUUACGGGAGCCGAGUACACAUUCCUGACGAUAUUUUGAACAGCGAUGUUACACCUAAAUUGAUUUCCAGUUGAAUCCCGUCUGCGAUCUGCUGUUGAAAUUUGCAUCUUUCGUCUAUUAAAGGCCUCGUCCUAUAUUUAUGGCAUUUUUUCUGGACCUUAAACUAGCAAGGAAAGGAAACUAAGCUUCGCCACAAUUGGCAGGGUAGCCGCAACAGCAUGGCCAUUUACAGAUAAUAGAAGAUGUAAAAAGACUAUUUACAACAAGUUAUAGGAGAUGUAAAAAUUCAUCGACAACAUUAUUCAACAAGUGGAUGAGUCCUUUUUGCAAGAGGUGUUUUUUUUUUUACUUAUGUAAUCUUAUUUUAAAGAUUAAAGACAA